UACGGGGGGGGCGAGCGUUGUUCGGAAUUACUGGGCGUAAAGGGCUCGUAGGCGGCCAACUAAGUCCGACGUGAAAUCCCCAGGCUUAACCUGGGAACUGCGUCGGAUACUGGAUGGCUUGAAUUCGGGAGAGGGAUGCAGAAUUCCAGGUGUAGCGGUGAAAUGCGUAGAUAUCUGGAGGAAUACCGGUGGCGAAGGCGGCAUCCUGGACCGACAUUGACGCUGAUGAGCGAAAGCUAGGGGAGCAAACGGG
rnacentral:rRNA from 1 species